rnacentral:piRNA from 1 species
UGAUCAAAGGGCUUACAGAACCGGAG